AUGGACACGCGAACGUUGUGGUUUCUGCGCCAUCCACGUCCACCUGACGACGGCUCGCUAGGGUGUUGGUC
rnacentral:sRNA from 3 species